GUUUUGUUUCUUUUUCCUUUUAGUGGAAAGAGGCAAAACCUGACGAACUAAUGGAUUCUAAACUGAGAUGUGUAUUUGAGAUGCCGAAUGAAAACGAUAAGCUGAACGACAUGGAACCUAGCAAAGCUGUCCCACUGAAUGCAUCCAAGCAAGAUGGACCCCUGCCAAAACCACAUAGUGUUUCACUCAAUGACACGGAGACAAGGAAACUGAUGGAAGAGUGCAAGCGACUUCAGGGAGAAAUGAUGAAGCUCUCAGAAGAAAACCGACACCUGAGAGAUGAAGGCCUACGGCUCAGAAAGGUAGCACAUUCGGAUAAACCUGGAUCCACCUCAGCCGUGUCCUUCAGAGAUAAUGUCACCAGUCCUCUUCCUUCUCUUCUGGUUGUAAUUGCAGCCAUUUUCAUUGGAUUCUUUCUAGGGAAAUUCAUCUUGUAGAGUGAAGCAUGCAGAGUGCUGUUUCUUUUUUCUUUUCUCUCGACCAGAAAAAGAUUUGUUUACCUACCAUUUCAUUGGUAGUAUGGCCCGCGGUGACCAUGGCCCGUGGUGACCAUUUUUUUUUGUGUGUACAGCGUCAUAUAGGCUUUGCCUUUAAUGAUCUCU
rnacentral:lncRNA from 1 species